CUUGCGGCCACAUCAAGUUGAAACACCGGCUCCCGUACGAUCACCAAAGUUAAACAACGUCGGGCCUGGUCAGUAAUUAAAUGGGUGACCGCUUGGGGAUACCAGGUGCUGUAAU